ensembl:lncRNA
AAACACCUCCCCAUACCCAUCUUUCUUCAGAUUAUCCACAAAGUUUUCAAAUAUAGUGAGCAGAGGAAAGGCGUACUCAAUCACACUCUCGCUAAGGUUCGGAAACCCGUAGAAAAACCCGCCGCUGUGCAGACCAAACACUCGUCCCUCGGCAUCGAAAACCGGGGAGCCGGUGUUCUGGGAAUUUCUCCUACCCCGCAAACCGUCCUACCCGUUGUUCCUGAGCAUGUGCGCGCAUGCGCACAACACAUAAAGCGAAGCAAAGCACAUCCGGCUGUGAUUUAAUGCUACCCCGUUGUCAUAUUUGCAGGAAAAUAGCUUCGGUGAAGUCUGCUGUCAAGUUACUGGACACGUGGUAUUUGCACAACACUUCUGAAUCCGCAGCUUCGGUGUUUUAAGGCUGUUUCGAUAUGGAGAAGAAGUGGGAAGAGAUUUACGCGUUUAUUUCUGCGGGCUCCUACCCUUCAGGAUAUGACAAGGCUCAGAGGCAAAACCUCAGAAGAUAUGCCUCAAAAUUCCAACAAAAGGAUGGAGAACUCUUUGUUGGAACCAGAAAAGUAGUAAAACCAUGGAUGAUGCCAGGAAGAUAUUUCAUGAGUUUCAUUCAUCUC